GUAGGUGGCAAGCGUUGUCCGGAAUUAUUGGGCGUAAAGCGCGCGCAGGCGGUUCUUUAAGUCUGAUGUGAAAGCCCACGGCUCAACCGUGGAGGGUCAUUGGAAACUGGAGAACUUGAGUACAGAAGAGGAAAGCGGAAUUCCACGUGUAGCGGUGAAAUGCGUAGAGAUGUGGAGGAACACCAGUGGCGAAGGCGGCUUUCUGGUCUGUAACUGACGCUGAGGCGCGAAAGCGUGGGGAGCAAACAGGAUUAGAUACCCUGGUAGUCCACGCCGUAAACGAUGAGUGCUAAGUGUUAGGGGGUUUCCGCCCCCCUUAGUGCGGCAGCUAACGCAUUAAGCACUCCGCCUGGGGAGUACGGCCGCAAGGCUG
rnacentral:rRNA from 1 species